rnacentral:rRNA from 1 species
UACGUAGGGGGCAAACGUUGUCCGGAUUUACUGGGUGUAAAGGGUGCUCAGGCGGUCUUGUAAGUUAGAAGUGAAAUCCUAGGGCUUAACUCUGGAACUGCUUUUAAUACUGCAAGGCUUGAAUAUGGAAGAGGAGGGUGGAAUUUCUGGUGUAGCAGUGAAAUGCGUAGAUAUCAGAAAGAACACCAGUGGCGAAGGCGGCCCUCUGGUCCAUUAUUGACGCUAAAGCACGAAAGCGUGGGGAGCAAACAGG